GGUGAGCAACCGGGGAAGCACUGAUGCCAGAAAACUCACUAGUCGUGUUUCGGGUCAUCACUUGACUCGAUCGAAUCUAGAGUUCCAGUGAACGUUCGGUGACCGAAGGGAGACCUUUGGACUCGCCACUGGCUGCCAAGUCUUUUGGCGGUGGCAACGCAACUAUUGGGAGGCUGGAAGAUGGUGGAUAGGAGAAAAGGUGGCGGUAGCUUAUGGGUUUC
rnacentral:misc_RNA from 1 species